AAAAAAAUGGUAAGUACAUCUUUGAUCUUGUAGAUCGUUGCAUAGAAGAGAUUGGGGAGAAACAUGUAGUUCAAGUAGUGACUGAUAAUGCAAGUGUGAAUCAAGCAGCAUCUAAGUUGUUGAACGCAAAGCGCCCCAAGGUAUUUUGGAAUGGUUGUGCUGCCCACUGUAUAGAUCUGAUGCUAGAGGACAUUGGGAAGCUGCCAUCAGUUGACUCCACCAUUACAAAAGCUAGAGCUGUGACGGUUUUCCUUUAUGCACACACAAGGGUUUUGAACCUAAUGAGGGAAUUCCUUAGUAAAGAUUUGGUUAGGUCUGGUAUUACAAGGUUCGCUACAGCAUACUUGAACUUGAAAAGCAUGUUGGACAACAAGAAACAACUCCAGAAACUAUUUAGAUCAGAUGAGCUUGAUGAAAUGGGAUAUUUAAAAAAGGUUAAAGGAAAUGAAGCUAGCAAAACUGUGCGCUCUGAAACUUUUUGGAGAGGAGUAGACAUUGCUGUCAAGUUCUUUGAGCCAUUGGCUAAUUUGCUCCGGAGGAUGGACAGCGAUGUACCGGCUAUGGGAUUCAUAUACGGCGCCUUUUUGGAUGCAAAGCAAGAGAUCAAAACUAAGUUUGAAAAUGAACAAGGAUCUUGUUUUCAGGAAGUGUUGGAUAUUGUGGAUAAAAGAUGGGACAGCAAGUUGAAGGGGCCACUACAUAGGGCUGGAUACUUCUUAAAUCCAUACUACUACUAUGAAAACAAGAAGCAAAUUGAGUUAGAUGGAUCAUUUGAAGCUGGGCUUAUAACUUGCAUGGAAAAAAUGGUUGAAGAUGUUGUCCUUCAAGACAAAAUCAAUGAUGAGCUUGUGGCAUAUCGAAAGGAACAGGGGACAUUUGGAAGAGAAAUUGCCAAAAGGCAGCGGAGAAACAAAAGCUUUGAUCCAGCUCAAUGGUGGUCCAGUCAUGGGUCAGAUUCACCAAAUCUCAGAGUAUUGGCGAUGCGGAUUUUGAGUUUGACAUGCAGCUCCUCCGCUUGUGAGAGGAAUUUUAGU
rnacentral:rRNA from 1 species